UUAGCUGUAGCUCCAUGAGGACAAGUAACCAGGGCAGCUGCUUUACAAAGUCCAUGUGUGGGUUGGAAAAAGCUGAGCCCCAGGACCAGAGAGUAGGCUUCUUUUUCCCUAACUCUGAGGCAUUUUGCAGCAGCCUUCAGAAAAUCUUGAAACUGGAUGGAGGUUAAGGGAUUAUUUUGGGCUCAGCCAGCCCCGCUCCACUACACCAGCAGCAAAAGCUCCGUCUGCUGGAGGAAUUAAAAUGCAGGGAUUAGCUCAUUUGGGUGGCAGAGCUGGAGGGGAAGGCCUUGGAUUGAGCUGGCCACUGGAGGGGACAAGAGGAAGAAGCCCAGGGAGGACAGCCUUAAGCAGCCUUGGGAGCCAACCUACUAGAAGCCACGCUCCUCAACCAGACCCCGAGAGAGGACCAUUACAAUAGCUUUUGAGAAAAAUAUUAUUUUGAUAACUUGUCUUGAACAAUGAUUUUUUAAAAAAAUUAUCUAAUCUAAGAAGGUUGUAUUAAUUUGUUUAAACAAAGUUUACCUUUAAUUUCUACUUGUUUCUGUGAGGAUGCUGUUAUAAAAUGCCAACCAAGUAUAUGCCCAAACCUUCAAGGUGUGGGCUAACACACAGAUAAAGGGUCAAUUUCUUAGCGUAAAUCAACAUAACCAAUGGGAUUAUGUUAGUUUUCCAAAAGCGGAGAAUCUGGCUGCAAAAUUAUAAUAAUAAUGAUUAUUCUAAACUUUCUCCAAAAUUUGGCAGCAGUUUGGGGUGAUUCAAUUUGGGGGGAGGGGUCAGAUUAAAAUGCUUUAAAGAGGCCUGAUGUUCAGAGAAUGGGUGGUCAGUGCUUUUUGAAAAUCAGGCUUAUUUAAGGUGCCUCAGUCUAGGUACACAAGAAUUGCCAGACCAGCUGGCUAUCUUUAUAGGCCCCCUAGUCAGAGAAGCCCCGCCCCCUAAUCAGGGCUGUUUCUUUCCCAGCACACUGCCCCUAGCUGCUUCUACACAUACCUUCUCCUCCAACAGAACUCCUUGAGCAAACCCCUACCAGUGCUUGCAAAAGAACAAAAUCCCCACACUGGGUCACUGUAGUAGCUUUAGCACAGGAGUCUCACAGUAAGUCUGAAGUUCAGCCUGGCCUUCCCGUUCUCUAUGGUGGCCAGAGCCAGGACACAAAAGGGACUUCAGGGUCCUUUCAGCCUCUCACUCUGCCUCUCAGCGCCAUUGGAAUUUGUGUUGUAUUUUGGGUCGGUGGGAGUAGCCCUCUAGUGACUAAGACCAUGUCUACACUAGCGAGCUGAUAGAAGCACAGCUGUACUGAUCCAGUUGCACUGCUGAAGAUCACUCAGGUAGCCACUCUAUGCCAACAGAAAGCUGUCUCGUUGACAUAAUAAAACCACCCCAACAAGUGGCAGUUGCUGUGUCAGUGGGAGAAGCUCUCCUGCCGACAUAAUGCUGUACACACUACCACCUAUGCUGGCAAAACUGUCGCUCGGGGAUGUGUGAGUGACACACGUUUUGCCAACAUAGGCCAUGUCUGCACUACCACUUAACUUGUGCUACAUGCACCCUCCAUCCUGUAAAGCCCUGCCCACAUACUUAAUUUGACACACUGUCAGUAGUUCUAUUGACUUCAGAGGAUCAGAGCGCUAGAAUUCUUAACCUAUUACACACUUCUGGGCCACUUCCUGUUUUGGCCUCUUCCAACUUGAGCCUGGAGCCUGUUUAGAUGUUUCACGAAAUAGCACCAAAUGAGCCAGAGAAUGAUGACCAGAUUUACUCUUACACUAGUAAAAAUCCUCAGUGGCUCAAGUUGGUGAGUGACAUGAGAGCAGGACUCGACUCUGGAAGUGAAAUGUCUUUGUGUUGCUUGAACUGUCUAUAAAUGAUUCUAUAUAAAAAAAUGGCAUUCCUUUAUUGUGAAUCUAGAGUAGUUUAGCUGAUGGUAAAUACCUGGAAAAGGCUAAAUAUUUAUAGGGGUGUUUAUUCAACACUGUGUGGAUUUUAAAUGGAAAACACUUUGUUUUAGUUAGUGAUAGCGUCAAACCACAAUUUUCCUUGUUCUGUUGGCAUUCAGCUAUCUGAUUCAGUUUUACCUAAAUUAGUUCAUUUAAAUAAAAGCAGUUUGAAUAUACAGGA